ACGAAACACACAACCAUGGCACAGAUGUGCCCCACCACUACCUGCCUACAUCAAACAAAUCUGCCGUAUUCCGAUAGCCAUAUCGAAGUACGACAGCGUUUUGAUGCCCCAUGUAAAACACAUAAGAGCCCCGACCCUUACCCCCAUCUUACCUCCAUUCCCGGCUGGACGUCGGCCCCAUCUUCCGAGGCCUGCUGCACGUGCAGCACGUGGAUGGGAACAUGAGAAUUAGGAGACGUCAAUUCGGGCAGGCACGUCAAUUAGGGCAGGCACGUCAAUGACGGAGUCGAAACAUACACACCCCCCUCCCCCAACCAGCCCCAGCCACCCUCGAUAGCAUCAGGAACAAGAAAGAGGGCAAGGGGUAACGAAUCCACAAAGAAAAACAACCCUGGCACAGCUGUGCCCCACAAUUACCUGCCUGCAUCAAACAAAUCUGCCGUACUCCGAUAGCCAUAUCGGAGUACGACAGCGUUUUGAUGCCCCACGUAAAACACAUAAGAGCCCCGACCCUCGCCCCCAUCUUACCUCCAUUCCGGCUGGACGUCGGCCCCAUCUUCCGAGGCCUGCUGCACGUGCAGCACGUGGAUGGGAACAUGAGAAUUAGGGCAGGCACGUCAAUUCGGGCAGGCACGUCAAUUAGGGCAGGCACGUCAAUGACGGAGGCGAAACAUACACACCCCCCUCCCCCAAUCAGCCCCAGCCACCCUCGAUAGCAUCAGGAACAAGAAAGAGGGCAAGGGGUAACGAAUCCACAAAGAAAAACAACCCUGGCACAGCUGUGCCCCACAAUUACCUGCCUGCAUCAAACAAAUCUGCCGUACUCCGAUAGCCAUAUCGGAGUACGACAGCGUUUUGAUGCCCCACGUAAAACACAUAAGAGCCCCGACCCUCGCCCCCAUCUUACCUCCAUUCCGGCUGGACGUCGGCCCCAUCUUCCGAGGCCUGCUGCACGUGCAGCACGUGGAUGGGAACAUGAGAAUUAGGGCAGGCACGUCAAUUCGGGCAGGCACGUCAAUUAGGGCAGGCACGUCAAUGACGGAGGCGAAACAUACACACCCCCCUCCCCCAAUCAGCCCCAGCCACCCUCGAUAGCAUCAGGAACAAGAAAGAGGGCAAGGGGUAACGAAUCCACAAAGAAAAACAACCCUGGCACAGCUGUGCCCCACAAUUACCUGCCUGCAUCAAACAAAUCUGCCGUACUCCGAUAGCCAUAUCGGAGUACGACAGCGUUUUGAUGCCCCACGUAAAACACAUAAGAGCCCCGACCCUCGCCCCCAUCUUACCUCCAUUCCGGCUGGACGUCGGCCCCAUCUUCCGAGGCCUGCUGCACGUGCAGCACGUGGAUGGGAACAUGAGAAUUAGGGCAGGCACGUCGAUGACGGUGGUGAAACAUACACGCCCCCCUCCCCCAACCAGCCCCAGCCACCUUCCAUAGCAUCAGGAACAAGGAAGAGGGCAACGGGUAACAAAUCCACAAGGAAAAACAACCCUGGCACAGAUGUGGCCCACCACUACCUGCCUACAUAAAAAAACUGCUGUAUUCCGAUAGCCAUAUCGG
rnacentral:lncRNA from 1 species